rnacentral:misc_RNA from 1 species
GAUGAAGAACGUAGCGAAAUGCGAUAAGUAAUGUGAAUUGCAGAAUUCAGUGAAUCAUCGAGUCUUUGAACGCACAUUGCGCCCCCUGGUAUUCCGGGGGGCAUGCCUGUCCGAGCGUCAUUGCUGCCCUCAAGCACGGCUUGUGUGUUGGGCCCCCGUCCCCGGUUUCCCCCGGGGGCGGGCCCGAAAGGCAGCGGCGGCACCGCGUCCGGUCCUCGAGCGUAUGGGGCUUUGUCACCCGCUCUGUAGGCCCGGCCGGCGCCAGCCGACACCCAACUUUAUUUCUAAGGUUGACCUCGGAUCAGGUAGGGAUACCCGCUGAACUUAAGCAUAUCAAUAAGCGGAGGA